GAUGAACGCUGGCGGCGUGCCUAAUACAUGCAAGUCGAGCGAACAGAUGAGGAGCUUGCUCCUCUGACGUUAGCGGCGGACGGGUGAGUAAAACGUGGAUAACCUACCUAUAAGACUGGGAUAACUUCGGGAAACCGGAGCUAAUACCGGAUAAUAUAUUUAACCGCAUGGUUCAAUAGUGAAAGACGGUUUUGCUGUCACUUAUAGAUGGAUCCGCGCCGCAUUAGCUAGUUGGUAAGGUAACGGCUUACCAAGGCAACGAUGCGUAGCCGACCUGAGAGGGUGAUCGGCCACACUGGAACUGAGACACGGUCCAGACUCCUACGGGAGGCAGCAGUAGGGAAUCUUCCGCAAUGGGCGAAAGCCUGACGGAGCAACGCCGCGUGAGUGAUGAAGGUCUUCGGAUCGUAAAACUCUGUUAUUAGGGAAGAACAAAUGUGUAAGUAACUAUGCACGUCUUGACGGUACCUAAUCAGAAAGCCACGGCUAACUACGUG
rnacentral:rRNA from 1 species